rnacentral:rRNA from 1 species
CAGGGGGGUAUUGCCUCAGUAGCGGCGAGUGAGCGGCAAAAGCUCAGAUUUGAAAUCGCCUUUCGGGGCGAGUUGUAGAUUGCAGGUGGGAGAGUUUGUGGAGGCGCGUGCCGAAGUCCCUUGGAACAGGGCGCCAUUGAGGGUGAGAGCCCCGUGCGACGCGUGCCGAAGCUUUAACUCCCCUCUGACGAGUCGAGUUGUUUGGGAAUGCAGCUCUAAGUGGGUGGUAAAUUCCAUCUAAGGCUAAAUACUGGCGAGAGACCGAUAGCGAACAAGUACUGUGAAGGAAAGAUGAAAAGCACUUUGAAAAGAGAGUGAAACAGCACGUGAAAUUGUUGAAAGGGAAGGGUAUUGGGCUCGACAUGGGAAUUGCGCACCGCUGCUCCUUGUGGGCGGCGCUCUGGGCUUUUCCUGGGCCAGCAUCGGUUUUCGCCGCAGGAGAAGGGGCUGUGGAAUGUAGCUGCUUGCAGUGUUAUAGCCACUGGCCAGAUGCUGCGUGUGGGGACCGAGGGCUGCGACAUCUGUCUCGGAUGCUGGCACAACGGCGCAAUACCGCCCGUCUUGAAACACGGACCA